ACGGAAUAGAUACCCCGGUAGUCCAUGCCGUAAACUAUGGAUACUAGCUGUUGGGGGUAUCGACCCCUCCAGUAGCGAAAGCUAAACGCGUUAAGUAUCCCGCCUGUGGAGUACGAUCGCAAGAUUAAAACAUAAAGGAAUUGACGGGGACCCGCACAAGCGGUGGAGCGUGUUCUUUAAUUCGAUGCUAAACGAAGAACCUUACCAGGGCUUGACAUCCCUUGAAUUACUCCGAAAGGAGUGAGUGCUUUAUUGAGCAAGGUGACAGGUGAUGCAUGGCCGUCGUCAGCUCGUGUCGUGAGAUGUUUGGUUAAGUCCAUCAACGAGCGCAACCCUUAUACUUAGUUGUAUUUUUCUAGGUAGACUGCCCC
rnacentral:rRNA from 1 species